rnacentral:rRNA from 1 species
UACGUAGGGUGCGAGCGUUGUCCGGAAUUACUGGGCGUAAAGAGCUCGUAGGUGGUUUGUCGCGUCGUCUGUGAAAUUCCGGGGCUUAACUUCGGGCGUGCAGGCGAUACGGGCAAUACUUGAGUGCUGUAGGGGAGACUGGAAUUCCUGGUGUAGCGGUGGAAUGCGCAGAUAUCAGGAGGAACACCGAUGGAGAAGGCAGGUCUCUGGGCAGUAACUGACGCUGAGGAGCGAAAGCAUGGGUAGCGAACAGGAUUA